rnacentral:tRNA from 1 species
GGAUUGUGGCUCAGUAGUAGAGCGCUCACCUAGCAUGCGCAGGGCCUUGGGUUCGAUCCUCAGUACCA